rnacentral:piRNA from 1 species
UGAAGCCCAACCCCGGACUGAUGUGUUGAAC